GGGGUUGUGGCUUAGAGGUAGAGCGCUCACCUAGCAAGUGUGAGGUGCUGGGUUUGAUCCUCAACACCACA
rnacentral:tRNA from 1 species